rnacentral:lncRNA from 1 species
GCAUCUCUUUUAAUUUAUUUAUUUCCCGCACUCGCUUUACUUUAUUUAUUUUCCACACUCGCUUUAUUUUAUUUAUUUUUCGCACUCGCUUUAUUUUAUUUGUUUUCCGCACAUUACUCGCUCUCUAUCCCUCACAUUCUAAAACAAACUUUUCAUAAUGAUUAACCCCGUUAUGUUUGUUUGUGUUACCAUGUAUGGCUAAAUCUUUUAAAGGUUAGAAUGUAAGGAUCAUGGUUAAAGUAAUGUUUCAC